rnacentral:rRNA from 1 species
UACGUAGGGUGCAAGCGUUGUCCGGAAUUAUUGGGCGUAAAGAGCGUGUAGGCGGCCCGGUAAGUCCGCUGUGAAAGUCCAGGGCUCAACCCUGGGAUGCCGGUGGAUACUGUCGGGCUCGAGUCCGGAAGAGGAGUGUGGAAUUCCUGGUGUAGCGGUGAAAUGCGCAGAUAUCAGGAGGAACACCGGUGGCGAAGGCGGUUCUCUGGGCCUGAUCUGACGCUGAGGAGCGAAAGCGUGGGGAGCGAACAGG